rnacentral:rRNA from 1 species
CAGCAGCCGCGGGAAUACGUAGGGUGCAAGCGUUAAUCGGAAUUACUGGGCGUAAAGCGUGCGCAGGCGGUUUGUUAAGUCUGUUGUGAAAUCCCCGGGCUCAACCUGGGAAUGGCAAUGGAUACUGGCAAGCUAGAGUGUGUCAGAGGAUGGUGGAAUUCCCGGUGUAGCGGUGAAAUGCGUAGAGAUCGGGAGGAACAUCAGUGGCGAAGGCGGCCAUCUGGGACAACACUGACGCUGAGGCAUGAAAGCGUGGGGAGCAAACAGGAUUAGAUACCCGUGUAGUCCCUGUCUCUUAUAC